AAGACCCUCGUUGUAAAUGGCUCACUCGCAGCUUUUAAUUGUCAAUUCUUUUUUAUUUUUUUGUUUUUCCAUCCGGUGUUCGGUGUCCGCAUUGGAGCCCCUACUAAUCCGGAUCGCGCCCAGGAUCGAACCCUCGACCUCUGGUUAAGGGUGGAGCAGCCCCAUCCACUACACCACAACCCAUGUUGGUUUUAAUUGUCAAUUCUACUAAGCGCAG
rnacentral:lncRNA from 1 species